CCCAUCUGAUUCCCAAAUCCUAACUCUCUGGAGCCAUGCCCAAUGUGUAGCAGUCUGGGUCCAAUCGAGAGACAGCAACCACACCAUGAUUUUAAAAGGGCAGGUUCAAGAGCAAGAAUAAUGAGGCUAUGAUCAAAGAAGCACACACAGUUCCCUAGCCCUUUCUGCCACGUGAGGACACAGCAUGAAGCCUGUGACCCAGAAGAGAACCCCCCGCCUGACCACGCUGGCAUCCUGAUCUCAGGCUUCCAGUCUCCAGAACUGUGAGAAAAAAUAAAUUUUUGUUGUUUAUAAGCUA